rnacentral:rRNA from 1 species
UACGUAGGGUGCGAGCGUUAAUCGGAAUUACUGGGCGUAAAGCGUGCGCAGGCGGUUUCGUAAGACAGAUGUGAAAUCCCCGGGCUUAACCUGGGAACUGCGUUUGUGACUGCGAGACUUGAGUGCGGCAGAGGGGGGUGGAAUUCCACGUGUAGCAGUGAAAUGCGUAGAUAUGCGGAGGAACACCGAUGGCGAAGGCAAUCCCCUGGACCUGUGCUGACGCUCAUGCACGAAAGCGUGGGGAGCAAACAGGAUUAGAAACCCUAGUAGUCCCUGAGACUCCAA